GAAUUUUGGACAAUGGGGGCAACCCUGAUCCAGCCAUCCCGCGUGUGCGAUGAAGGCCUUCGGGUUGUAAAGCACUUUUGGCAGGGAAGAAAAGGCUCUGGCUAAUACCUGGAGCUGCUGACGGUACCUGCAGACUAAGCACCGGCUAACUACGUACCCGCAGCCGCGGUAAUACGUAGGGUGCACGCGUUCAUCGGAAUUACUGGACGUAAAGCGUGCGCGGGCGGUUCGGCAAGAAGGAUGUGAAAUCCCAGGGCUUAACCGUGGAACUGCAUUCUUAACAGCCGGGCUAGAGUAUGUCAGAGGGGGGUAGAAUUCCGCGUGUAGCAGUGAAAUGCGUAGAGAUGCGGAGGAAUACCGAUGGCGAAGGCAGCCCCCUGGGAUAAUACUGACGCUCCUGCACGAAAGCGUGGGGAGCAAAC
rnacentral:rRNA from 1 species